AUACGGAGGGGACAAGCGUUGUUCGGAAUUACUGGGCGUAAAGCGUACGUAGGCGGAUCGUUAAGUUAGAGGUGAAAUCCCAGGGCUCAACCCUGGAACUGCCUUUAAUACUGGCGAUCUAGAGAUCGAGAGAGGUGAGUGGAAUUUCCAGUGUAGAGGUGAAAUUCGUAGAUAUUGGAAAGAACACCAGUGGCGAAGGCGGCUCACUGGCUCGAUACUGACGCUGAGGUACGAAAGCGUGGGGAGCAAACAGGAUUAGAUACCCUUGUAGUCC
rnacentral:rRNA from 1 species